UACGGAGGGUGCGAGCGUUGUCCGGAAUCACUGGGCGUAGAGGGCGCGUAGGCGGCGCGGAAAGUCGUCUGUGAAAGCUCGGGGCUCAACCCUGAGUCUGCCGGUGAUACUCCCGCGCUCGAGCUCACUAGAGGCAGAUGGAAUUCCGGGUGUAGCGGUGGAAUGCGUAGAGAUCCGGAAGAACACCGGUGGCGAAGGCGGUCUGCUGGGGUGAGGCUGACGCUGAUGCGCGACAGCGUGGGGAGCAAACAGG
rnacentral:rRNA from 1 species